rnacentral:rRNA from 1 species
UACAGAGGUGGCAAGCGUUGUUCGGAAUUACUGGGCGUAAAGGGCGCGUAGGCGCCUUCUAAGUCAGACGUGAAAUCCCCCGGCUUAACCUGGGAACUGCGUCUGAUACUGGGAGGCUCGAGUAUGGGGAGAGGGAUGUAGAAUUCCAGGUGUAGCGGUGAAAUGCGUAGAUAUCUGGAGGAAUACCGGUGGCGAAGGCGGCAUCCUGGACCAUUACUGACGCUGAGGCGCGAAAGUAGGGGAGCAAACGGG